ACUCAGCUCAAGCCCCCCGGCCCGUCAGGCCCCGCGCUGGGGACUUCACACCCACCGACCACCGGCCCGGGCGGGGGAUGGCGGGGACAGUCUUGUCCGGGCCAGCACCAGCCCUGCGUGCCCGUAUUCUGCCCGUGGGCACGGCAGGCCGCCCCCCGCCAGCGUUCGAGCACCCCCUGCCCUUCCUUCUGUCCCCCGUCCCUCAAUCCCUCCACCCCCGGUCCGUCCCUACCUCCGACACCGGGUACCGGCCCAGACUGGGCGCUCGGGGGCAACGGGAGCCGUGCGGGGCCGUGCUGUACCCACGCGGGUUGUAGACACCGUGGGUGUCCGCGGGGCUCCGGGGUGCCGCCGGGACAGCCCGGGACAGCCCGGGACAGCCCGGGACAACCCGGGCUCGAGCGGCUGGAGGAGGCUGUAGCCCCGUCCCGCCGGGCACGGACUAGGACCAGAGAGGGCUCCGUGGCCUCCGGAGGGGCGCCCGGUAGCCUCGACGGUCCACGAGCCUGGGGACAGCACGUCGCGACACUAGGACGGUGUCCCCGGGCUUUCCCGGGACUGUUGUCCCCGUGCGCCCUGGGCUGUCACGGAGCUCUGCCUCCCCCGUGCGCCCGGGACUGUCCCGGGAGAUCCCGCCACUGCUGCCCCUGUGCACCCCGCGCUGUCCCGGGACAUCCCGGGCUAUCCCCGUUCCCCCGUGCGCCCGGAGCCGUCCGGGGCCGUCCCGGGUUAUUCCGGGAGCAGCUCCUCCUUGUGCCGGGAGCUGUCGCGGGCCGGUGCCGGUGCCGGUGCCGGUAGAACGUGCGCGCGGGACGGCGGGGAAGGCGGGGGGCGGCAGCCGGGAGCUCUGGGCACGGGGCCGGGGCGCAGCCACCCGCCGGGCUAAUCCGGGCCGUGACGGACAGCCCCGGCGCCGCCGCUCCCGCCGCCCCGUAAGAGAUGCCGCAGCUCCGCCGCUCCCCAUUGUUAGGGCGAGGACGCGGGGAGGCCCCGCGCGGCGGGACCGGCCCACGGGGACCCUCCGCGCCGCCCCUAUAAGAGGGAAGGGGCUGGAAGAUGCUCCCGGGUGCUGAGCGCUGUGCACCCGCCGCGCCGAGCCGAGUCCAGCCCUGCCGGCUCCCCGGGGAGCUGCCGGUACCGACCAGCGGCGCUGGGUACCGCGCACGGACCGCCGAGAACCAGCAGCGGUACCGACACCGGGUACCGAGCGCAGAGUGCGGAGCACCGGGUCCCCAGGAGCGGCGCCGCCAACGGAGCGCCCGACGCCGCGCUCCGGGGCCCGGUCAGCGGGCGCUGGGCACCGCACCCCCGACGCCGCGCCCCGGCCACCGGCUGCAGCCCGGUGGCGGCGGCGGUGCCGGCCCGCCCGCCCGCCCGGCGCUCCCCGCGUCCCCCCGCGGCCGUCCUCGUCUCGGAGCCGCCCCGCGCGUCCGGAAACACGCGUGGAUGUAGCGGCCGGGCCGGGGGCUCUGCGGCACCAUAAAUACCGGGACGGCCGCUCGCCCGCGCACUCUGCCGGGGCUCCCGGGGCCGGAGCCAUGCGCGCCGCCGCGCUGGGGCUGGCGCUCCGGGCACUCUGGGCUCUGGCCCUCUCCUCCCUCUCCAACACGCUGGCAGUGAACAACAGCGGGCGGUGGUGGGGCAUCAUCAACGUGGCCUCGUCCACCAACCUGCUGACAGACUCCAAGAACGUGCAGCUGGUGCUGGACCCCAGCCUGCAGCUGCUGAGCCGAAAGCAGCGCAAGCUGAUCCGGCAGAACCCCGGCAUCCUGCACAGCGUCAGCUCCGGCCUCCAGACUGCCAUCAAGGAGUGCAAGUGGCAGUUCCGCAACCGCCGCUGGAACUGUCCCACCUCCCAGGGCCCCAACAUCUUCGGCAAAAUCGUCAACCGGGGCUGCCGGGAGACAGCGUUCAUCUUUGCCAUCACCAGUGCCGGUGUCACGCACUCGGUGGCCCGGUCGUGCUCGGAGGGGUCCAUCGAGUCCUGCACCUGUGACUACCGGCGCCGUGGCCCUGGGGGCCCUGACUGGCACUGGGGGGGCUGCAGUGACAACAUCGACUUCGGUCGCCUCUUUGGGAGGGAGUUUGUGGACUCCAGUGAGAAGGGCCGGGACCUGCGUUUCCUCAUGAACCUGCACAACAACGAGGCCGGGCGCAUGACGGUCUUCUCGGAGAUGCGCCAGGAGUGCAAGUGCCACGGCAUGUCGGGCUCCUGCACCGUCCGCACCUGCUGGAUGCGCCUGCCCACCUUCCGUGCCGUGGGCGACGUCCUGAAGGAUCGCUUUGACGGCGCUUCCCGCGUCAUCUAUGGCAACAAGGGCAGCAACCGGGCGUCGCGGGUGGAGCUGCAUCACCUGGAGCCCGAGAACCCGGCCCACAAGCCCCCCUCGCCCCACGACCUCGUCUACUUCGAGAAAUCCCCCAAUUUCUGCACCUACAGCGGGAAGAUGGGCACGGCGGGCACGGCCGGGAGGUUCUGCAACAGCUCCUCGCCGGGGCUGGACGGCUGCGAGCUGCUGUGCUGCGGGCGCGGGUACCGCACGCGCACCCAGCGCGUCACCGAGCGCUGCAACUGCACCUUCCACUGGUGCUGCCACGUCAGCUGCCUCAACUGCACCAACACCCAGGUGCUGCACGAGUGCCUGUGAGCUGCACCCCGGGACCACCCUGCCCAGCCCCGGAGGGGGUCUGCGCCACACGCCCCCCAUGACGGGUGCCCGGCUGGAUUGAAGGCACCUAUGGGUGGGGGGGUGGAUGUGUCCUAGGGACCCCCAUCCUGCCGUGGGUGGGCUCAGUGCCAAGCACCUUCCCGGCCACUCCCCGGCUCCACGGGGUCACUUCUUGCUGUAAAUAAAAUAUUUAUUGUGGACGGUUUGGUGCUGCCGCCCCCACCCUGCUUCGCUGGCCCCAGGCCCUGUUUUUUAUAAUUAAAGAUAAUAAUAAUUAAUAAUAAUUAAUAAUAAUAAUGAUGCUUUGUUACAGGUGUCAUUGAUAGCCUUUAGAGAAGAAUAAAGAAUAUAUUUUUAUCAGUCCUGCCCUGAUUUUUGUCUGGGGGGGCUGGCGGAAGGAGGGGAUGAGCUGUUGGGGGGACACCAAUGUACCCCAAACUGUGCUGUCCACAUCCAUCUGUCCAUCCAUCACUUCUCCAUCCCCUCACCUCCCCAUUCCACAUCCAUCAGCCUCUCCGGCUGCUCUCUGUCCAUCUUCCUCCUCCUUCCCUCCGCUCUCUUGCCAUCCCCUCCCGGCAGACCCCCUUCCUCCUCCCGCUGUGCCCGUCUCCAUCGCAGCCUUUCCUGCCGCCGCUCCCGGCCGGGACGUCCAUCCCCACGGCUGCGGCGCCCAUCACCAUGGCACCUUGACUGCAGCAUCUCCGAUGCUGGAAUUUGCCGGGGCGGUCGGGCUGGUGCCGCCGAGGCCGGGAGUUGGGAGCGGCCCCGGGAGGUACAAGACGACAGACAGGGAAUGAGCAUCGUCCAUCACCGCUACCGGCCGGGGCUGACGGCUCCCCUCGGCUCCGGGGGAAAGGCAGGGCCGGGGGAGGGCACCGGGGUUACCGGGGCAGGGGCCAGAGGGGGCAGAGGUGGCCACUGGCCCCACAAACAGCCCUACAUCCGUGCGUGACCACAAGAGAAAUGUGGCAAAGGGGGGAUGCAGCUCGGUGGUUGGCAGGUGUUCUGCUGGCAUGGAAAUCCUCCUGGGAUGGGCAUCUCUCUGGGACAGGGUUUCCUCGGGAUGGGAAUCCCUCUGGGAUGGGCAUCUCUCUGGGACAGGCUUUCCUCAGGAUGCGAAUCCCUCUGGAAUGGGCAUCCCGUCACAAUGGGCAUCCUCUUGGGACAGUCCUCCCCACCGGGAUGGGAAUUCAGCAUGCAGGACAUGCCCUGAGAUGGGUUUUUCCCUGGGAUAAGCACCCCAAAGGGGUGGGCAUAUCCCCAGAAGGGGCAUCCUUGGGAAGGGAAUCCUUCUGGGAUGGGCAUCCCCCUGUGAUGGGCACCCUUGCGGUGGGCACAGGGUCCACACAUCCCCCCUGCACCGUGACUUCACACUUGGGGACAAUCAAAACCUCCCUCUCUGUGUCUGGGGGACCCCCAGCCCGGUGCCCACCUGUCCCGGGGGUCCCCCCAGCCCGGGCUCCCCCCCCAGAGCCGGGAACCUCUCGGGGCCCCUGAGGCUGCGCCGCAUCAAAGGCUGCGGGAUGACGCUGCCACCACCCGAAAUAUCCCGCGGAGCCGAUAGUGGAAAAGUUGAUGUUUAGACUCAAAGGAGGGGGGGAAAAACACCCUGGGGGCCCCCGCUGCCCGCGCCAAGGUCAAAACACAGCCCAGCGUGGAGAAUAAAAUACCAAAAGGCAAGGAAAACGCCUGGAAAGGAACACAGCCCGAAAUAACCCUCCGAGCAUCUCCCGCCUGCCGGGUUAUCUGCCUGCUAAAUUCUGCUCCUGCUUCAGCAUGAAAAUAGCCUGUUUUCCUGCGGUAGGAGUCAGGAAUAUAGAUAAUGACAUUCUUAUAAGUCACCUCUGUUACUCAGCUUUUCCUGUGUGUCCUGCUGGGCACCUCGGGCAGCCGCGACCCCCGGGUGGGCAGGGGCACCCUGGGCACGGGGCACAGACCUCCCCGGCUUGGACAAAUAUUCCUGGGUGCUGGAAAUAGCUGCUGUGGGCCAGAGCAGGGCCAGGGAGAGGGCGGUGCCAUCCUGCAGCAGGCUGUCACAGCUGGGAACAGCUGGAUGGUGGCCACAAGCUGGGUCUGCCGAGGGCUGGGACAACCCCAGCCCUGGUCAGGGAUGGGGUGCAGGGGGCUCUGCCUGGGGGUGUGGGACAGAGAGACAGGAUGACACACGGAAGUGAAGGACAGAGGGACAGGGCUGCUUUCAGGACAGAGGAAAGAUGUCAUUCUCAGAAAUGUGGGGCACUGGGACAGGACAGAGCCCAGGGGUGCAGGACAGAGGGACACAGCCAUGCCCAGGAGUGCAGGACAGAGGGACAGAGCCAUGCCCAGGGGUGCAGGACAGAGGGAUGGUGACAUUCCCCGAAGUGCAGGACAGAAAAACAGGACAAUGCCCAAAGUUUCUGGUCAGAGGGACAGGACGACACAGAGAGAUGCAGAACAGAGCCAUGCCUAGAGGUGUGGGACAGAGGGAUGGUGUCAUUCCCAGAAUGCAGACAGAGGGACAGGACAGUGCCCAGGGGUGCAGGACGGGGGAAUUGUGUCAUUCCCAGAGGUGCAGGACAGGAGAGUGCCCAGGGGUGCAGGACAGGGGAAUUGUGUCAUUCCCAGAGGUGCAGGACAGGGGAAUCGUGUCAUUCCCGGGGGUGCAGGACAGGACAGUGCCCAGGGGUGCAGGACAGGGGAAUUGUGUCAUUCCCGGGGGUGCAGGACAGGACAGUGCCCAGAAAGGUGGGGCAGGAGGACUCUGUCAUUUCCAGAAAUGCAGAACAGAAUGACAGGACAGACAGACAGAGCUAUGCCCACCUGCCCAGACCCUCAGGUGGCCCCAUCCCACCUGCGGGACCGUCCCCAUCCCCUCCCAUCCCAUCCCCUGUCACCAUCACCAGCGGCACAGCCCCGUCCCGGCUCCCCUCGCCUCCGGUCCAUGCGGACCCACGUCCCGCCAGCUCCCGGCUUGUCCGGCCGCCCCCUCCCAUCCGCCGCAUUCCUCCGGCGCGGGGCCAACGCGCCCAGCAACGGUGGCAGCGCUGGCCUCUAAUCCCCGGGCAUGCCAGCCCCGGGGGGACCGUCGCCGUCACCCACUCCCUGAUAGGUGACCAAUGCCCGAGACGAACAAUUAGGGACAAAGCGGAGCCGCCGGGGGCUAACGCCGGCCUUCACGGGUGCCUUGUGCGGCAUUCGGCGGGUUUAAUGAAUUGUCCAUCAAUCCUUUCAGCUCCGCUCGCCCGGGCUGGAUUAAUCUGAGAAGCCGCAGUGGGGAAGGAGCCGCUAAGCCUGUAUUUAUUACUCUGCCAUUGUAACUAAUUGAGGUAAUUAUCUGUGACUCCAACCCCGCGCAACAAUGCCGCAUUCACCGGACCCUUCCCACCGGCUCCUCGCGCGGCCUGGGAGAGCCGGCACCGCGGGCUGGGACGGGGACACGCUGGGACAGGGACACGCUGGGACAGGGACACGCUGGGACAGGGACACGCUGGGGACGCUCAGGAAGGUGGCGGGGAACCAGGUGACACCGCGCUGUGGGGACACGGACGGUGCUGCUGGGGUGUGGCAUGGCCAGUGCCAGCCGCACGUGUCGGGGACACCGCCAACAGCAGCGCACACACGGACACAGAGCUCUGGGGACACCAUUGUCACCGGCGACACACGCAGGUCACAGCUCGCUGGGGACACCGCCAGCGCUGGCACAUACAUGGACGUGGCUGCUUUGGGACAUUGCCAACAGCAGUGACACAUGAGACACUCUGGGGACGCCAGUCACCACCAGUGACACACGCGGGUCGCGGCUGUCUGGGGACAGCAGCAGCACACACAUGGGCACAGGCCUGUGGUGACACCGCUGUCACAAGUGACACACGAGGCUCUCAGACACCAGCAGCACCCACGACACACGCGGGUCACUGGGAACACAGCCAGAGCUGGACAUGCCACCGUCACCGGUGACACACGAGGGUCACCGCCAGCCCCGGUGACACGCAGGGCUGCAGUGACUCUCAGACAGCACCGGCGCGGGUGUCGCACGUGGCUGACGGCUCUCUGGGGACACAGCACCGCUCCCGGGACAGGCGCGACCCCCGGAGCCCCCCGGGGCGCUCGGUCACCGGCUGCGCGGCGACAUCUGGCGGCCACGGGCGACAACGCGUCCCUCUCCGGGGGCUCCGGUACCGGGAGGGACCCCCCGGUCCCACGCGUUGGCACCGCACGGGCUGAGCCCCCCCUGGCCCCGGGGGUCCCCGGGCUGCGGCGGGUCCGGGGGCCCGGCGGGUGCCCCGGGGGUGCCGGGGGAAGGCGCUGGCGCCGGGGCAGCCCGAAUUAGAAGGUGAUUUUCCCGGCGGGGAGCGGGUUUGGGCAGGAGCUGAUCCCACGGGAAGGGCAGCGCCGCUGCCCCCGCGUCUGGGACACCCCGCGCCACGCCGGGCACCGCGCCGAGCCGGGGCAUGACGCGCUGUGCUGCGCCGUGCCAGGUUAUACCAGGCUGUGCCAAGCUGUGUUAGUUUGUGUUGAGCCGUGUCAGGUUAUGCCAACCUGUGCCAAGCUGUGCCAAAUCGCAAAGAGCUGUUCUGGGUUGUUCCGGGCUUUGUGAAGCUGUGCUGUGCCAAACUGAGCCAUGCCAGGCUAUGCUAAGGUGUGCCAAGUCGUGCCCAGCUGUGCUGAGCUGUGCCAAACAGGCUGUGCCAAGCGUUCCGGGCUGUGCUGAGCUGUGCUGAGCCAUGUCAGGUGGUAUCAGGCUGUGCCAAGCUCUGCCAGGCUGCGCUGAGCUGUUCUGAGCUGUGCCUUGCCAUUCAAAGCCGUGCCAAGGCUGCUGAGUUGUGCUUGGCUCUUCUGGGCUUUGCCAAGCCACGCCAGGCUGCUGUGCCAAGCCAGCCCGUGCCAAGCUGUGCCAGGCUAUACCAAGCUGUGCCAAGACCUGCUGGGCCAUACCAAGCCACGUUCCAAUCCGUGCCAGGCCGUGGCAGGCUGCAUCGUGCCGUGACAAUCUGUGACAAUCCGUGACAAGGCACGUGGCUCACACCACACUGUGCCAACCCUCCUGUGCCGUGCCAGGCCAUGCCAAGCCGUGCCAGGUGCCACCGUACCGUGUGCAGGACCACACCUGUGCCAGGCUGAGCUGCAGUUGUCAUCGUGGCUCAGGCCAGACCCAGGUGUGGCACUCCCAUGCCACCUCGGCCACACGCCAGGACAGGGGACACAUGGGGUGACGUGGCCCCGGGGGUGCCCCCCCAGCCUACCGGGUGGCCUUGCUGCGACAGCUGCCCCGUGCCGUGACCUCCGCGCCGGUGUCACCGGCAUAAUGACAGGGUCGCGCCGGGGGGCGGGGGAGGAGCCGGUUUUAAAUAACGUGCAAAUUGGACACGAUAUUUGUGCGGUUUCCUGGGGCCGCGGGGAUCCUCCCCCCCCCCGCAGCGUGACUAAGAGGUGGCGGCUGUUUGGGGGGGGGGGACAGUGGACAGUCCCCCCCACCCCGGGUGAGUCACUCGGGGUCCCCCCCCGGCCGUGACGUGGGGUCGGUGGCCGAGGGCCAGCCCUGCUGUGCUCACCUACAAUUAUGGGGGAUACGGGGGGAGCUGGCACGUCCUGCCCGUGUUGUGACGCACUGUGGUGGCCGCCGGGACACCCGGGACCUCCGACUGACCCCGGCACCAUAACGGGGGAGGGGUCCGGACACCGGGAAUGCCACGGGGGCGUGCCCACCCACACACCUUGCUGAGGAGGUGAUGCCCCCUCCCCCGACCCCACACAAACAGGGGCAGAGGCGGCACAACGGCAUCGCGGAGCUUUUAUUGGGGUCAGCCCGUGGGAACUCCAGCCCCGAGCCCCA